UUAAAUUGAAGAGUUUGAUCAUGGCUCAGAUUGAACGCUGGCGGCAGGCCUAACACAUGCAAGUCGAACGGUAACAGGAAGCAGCUUGCUGCUUCGCUGACGAGUGGCGGACGGGUGAGUAAUGUCUGGGAAACUGCCUGAUGGAGGGGGAUAACUACUGGAAACGGUAGCUAAUACCGCAUAACGUCGCAAGACCAAAGAGGGGGACCUUCGGGCCUCUUGCCAUCGGAUGUGCCCAGAUGGGAUUAGCUAGUAGGUGGGGUAACGGCUCACCUAGGCGACGAUCCCUAGCUGGUCUGAGAGGAUGACCA
rnacentral:rRNA from 1 species